CAAAAGACCCUGGUCUAAGAAGAAGCUGUGCUUGCCUAUCAUGGCUUGGACUCCUCUUGUGUUUAUUCUUCUAUCUUACUGUACAGGUUCUUUUUCUGAAUCUGUUAUGACACAGCCACCCUCCAUCUCUGCAACUCUUGGAUCAACAGUCAGACUUACUUGCUCCCUGAAGAGUGGCAUCAGCGUUGGCAGUAAAGAUAUUUACUGGUACCAGCAGAUGCAGGGGAGCCCUCCUCGGUUUUUACUGUACUACUACUCAGACUCAAGCAAGAACCUCGGGCCUGGAGUCACCAACAGAGUCUCUGGAUCCAAAGAUACCUCCAAAAAUGCUGCAGAGUUGCACAUCUCUCAGCUAAAAGCAGAGGAUGAGGCUGACUAUUACUGUGCCAUCUGGGAAAGUAAUGAAUCUCACAGUGAUACAGGCAGAUGGGGAAUAAUGCGGCACCUGGGAUUAGACAGAGAAACUACAUUGUUUUACUCCCUGCUGUUACUGUCCAACCUUGGCAGCGACGUCACUGCCAAGAUUUCUGUGAAAUGA